AUUGUGAUGUUCUUAAUUAUUUAAUUUUAUAAAGGGUCUACAGCCAAAGUAAAUCAUAAGAUCUCAAAUGUCUAGCCUAUGCUAGGCCUUCCUAGGGCUACAUUCGAGACAUAACUGAUACUUGAGGUUCAUGGAAUUGAUAGAUUCUCAGUUUAUUCGUGUAGAAGUAGAGAUUUGAGAAGUGGAAGUAACUGAUGAAUGCAAUAUACGAUGCACACCAUUAGAUACUUGAUGACAAAAGAAGUGCUUUAACACCAGAUAUAUGGAAGGAAUAGAAAAAGAGGUGGGAAAUACCUCAAAAAACCUUUAAGGAAGUUGUGUGAAAUGCUUCUAUAAUGGCUAACUGUAAAAGAAGUGCUUUAACACCAGAUACAUCUUUAGGAAAGGAAUAGAAAAAGAGGUGGGAAAUACCUCAAAAAACCUUUAAGGAAGUUGUGUGAAAUGCUUCUAUAGUGGCUAACUGUAGAUAAGUAUGACACAAAACAAGACCAGAGAUUUAUUUAUUUAUUUAUUUAUUUUUUAAAGAAUAAACAAUGAUCUGGAAGAAGGAUUGAGGAGCUUUUAUUAAUUGAGAAAAUUGUUUCUUUUUUUGUUAAAUGUUUCACCUUUUCAAUAAACUUAUCUGUUGAUAGUGUACAUGUAUUUCUUGUUUUAGAGCUCACCUAUAC
rnacentral:lncRNA from 1 species